GAUUGAGUAGUCUAGAGAUUGGGUUGUCAUCUAGUGAUAAGGUUGUGGAGAUGGAAAUAGAUAUUAUGGCUUCCAAACCUUCGUCUUCUUCUCAGCCCCAAAUUCUUCAAGCCCUAAAAGAAAAUUGUUCUUUGAAAGAGAAACACAUAGGUUUAGAAAACGGUUCCAAUUUCCUGAUGAAACUGUAGUUCGUCUUCCACAUUCGAAUAAGAAAGUGAGUGCUUUUGCUUAUGGAGAGGUUUGCUUUUUACAAAGCCAGCUUUUUGAACGGUCUUAGAAUUCCCGUCCAUCCAUUCAUCAUGGAGCUUUUCCAUUGUCUAAAAAUUGCUCCAGGACAACUCGUUCCCUAUUCUUGGAGAAUUAUAAUUACUUGUAUGUAGAUUUGGAUGUUCAUCCAUGAGGGUGACAUGAUCAGGGUGGAUGAAUUCGUUCAUUUGUACCAUCUGAAAGAAUCUAACCAGUUAGGUUAUUAAGAGCUUGUGUCUUGGGAGCAAAAAGCUAGGGUUAUGGGUGAUUUUCCUUCUUCCUUCCGUAAUUGGAAGUCUAUGUACUUCUUUGUUUCUGGUUCUAGUUGAGAAACAUCUUCAGAUGAAUUCUGGGGACAUGUUCCCAUGUUGCUAUUUCGAUGGGAGAAACCUUCACUUGUUAAAAUUCGUCCAAAGUUGAAAAGCCAAUACAAGAGUCAAGUGCAGGUGACAUAUGAUUAUUCCAAAACAAUUGAGGAUUUCAACAACUUUAUUGAUCCUCGAACGUUGUACUAGUAUUUUCUAGGAGAUGAGCCAUCUCCGUUCAUUCUUAAGGAAAUUUCAAGAGAAGAGAAGAGUAGGUGGACGAGCAUUUUUUUUUUACUUCGUCUAACCUUUAUGUCUUCUAUUUGUAGAGAUAGCCACCCGUUUCACCAAAGACAAAUAUGCCCAUGUCAAGGGAAGACAGAACAAACCCUUGGCCAAUAUCUCGUCUGAUUUAAAGAAAUGUCGUAUGGAAGUUAUUGGUUAGUUUGUUCGGACAACAAUUUUGGAUGCUUCCUCUCGUCUUGAUCCGACUGCUAUCCCCCGACUGUUUCUUUGGAAGAGUUGACCCCACAGCCGAGAAGUGGAGAUAGAGGGAAAGACAAAAUUGGAGCGAGCAUUUGGGAGGAUGCUGCCAAUGCUGUAGGAAGGGCCUAUAAUGUUGUUACGUCUAACGAGCUGAAGAGCUUAUCCUCCAUUUCUUCUAAUGAACUAUAUUGGGGGAAUCCUUCCACAUAACCAUGGAGUAUUUGGUGAACAAGAAGAAAGCUGUUUUGGCUAGCUCCAAGACUGAAUCUCUAGAGGUUGAGAUAUCGAAGAUGAAGAAGGAUCUUAUUGCAUUCAUGGACGAAUCAAACGCAACGAAAGAGCAUCUGAAAGUAGUGACUAACAAACUCAAAGCUGAAAAGAUGCAAACUGCCUAAAAGGAUGAUCAAAUUCCAACUGUCAUCCUAAAGGUUGAGACGAAGAAACAAGUCGUUGUUUUUGCUUUUUAGUCCUCUAACGAGUACUUUGAUAUGCUAUUUGAUUACUACUACAAACACGGGCGGCUUGAUGUAUUUGGGGGCCUAAGUCAAAAAUUGAUUAUUUUGUUUUAGAUGCAAAAUUACUACUAAUUAACAUGAACUACAUAGAAUUUUUCUUUUUUUUAGAAAUUUUAUAGACAGAAAAAACUUGACAAAAUUUUUCAUACUUAUUGAUGUGGCAGAUUGUAGUGGUAAGUAAAAGAGUGGGGUUAGUGAUAGACUUAGAUGAAAACUAGUAAAAGUUUGUUAACUCACUUCUUAUUAUUAUUCUUAU